CUAAUAGUCACCAAAGUAUCUGAAUGACUAAGAACCACCACGUCAUCCUGUUCAGUGGUUUGAGGUCACCAAGACUCAUCCUUGCAAGUACCCGUAGCAACUCACACCACCCUGGCCAUGUGGUGCUGACCAGCUCAGGGCUGCUGUGACCAGGUACCACCACUUAAGUGUUUGGAGACGAUGGAAUGGGUUCUCUCACAGUUCUGGAGGCUACAGGUCUGAAAUACCUGGUUCUGCAGGGCCAUGCUUCCUCCUUCGUCUCCAGCGUUCUAGUUCAGCCAUCUUGGGAGCACAGCCUGAGGCUGAAGUUGAAGGAUGAGAGCCCACAGGGAGUGUGAGAGAGAAAUCUGAAGCAAAGGCCACAAAGCCAAUACAUCACAGUUCCCCUGGGACUCCAACCACAGCCAGUGACGUGAACAACCAUCAGUGUUCUUCAACUCUGAGGACUUGGAGAGACCAGUAGCCAUAAAAGACAUCCUGCAAUUAAGACUGUCAACCGUCAUCCAUCUACCAUUUCAAGCUCUGUGGGGGAGAAGGACUGAGGAGGAGAGGGUGGGACAGAGUACGACAUAGUUCACAAACUAAUCAGCCUCCUUUCAGCUGUAUGUUACACCUCUAUACCUGUACAGCCCUGUCCUCUGUCAUAUAAAUUUGUCAUGUAAAAAUAUGUGCAGUAAUAUUAGAUGAAUUGGUUAGGACCUAACAGACCAGAUAAAAAAGAUUUAGGGAACAGAUCAGGUCCUAAGGAAAAAAAAUUGCUUAUAAAACCGAGGAACCCAUGUUCUUGGCGAGUAACUUCAGUGGUGUGAUAUCUCAAAGUAUAGGUCGAAAUGUCACCCAUUCUACUUUUUAGUUUAUCUGUCUGUGAAACGGAGAAACCAACCCUUACUCCAAAUGCAGUAAGUAGUUUAAGGAUCUUGAGACAGUUCCAUCCUACAAGGGACAGUGCUGGAGGGACCACAUGGAACUACCUUUCCUUGCAUUGCCAUCCAGCUCUCUCUGGAUAGGGACCUGGGUAAGACAGGGAGACAGCCAGGGUUAGAG